GUUUCUGUCAUGAUUUGGUUUAGGGACCAACAGUGCUUUAAAAGGACUCCCAGCCCAAACACUCAGUGUCGGGUCAUUGUUGCUUCUCGCCACUGUCAUGUGUGUUGCUGUUUUGCUCUUGUUUUCUGUCAUGUUUAAUUCAUUGUUAUGUUUGAGAUUUAGUCAUGGUUUUUGUUUGAUACUUUGGACUUUGUGUGUUUUGGAUUUAGUUUUCUUUGUUUUAAAUACAAUUCUUCAAAUACA